GAAACUCAAAGGAAUUGACGGGGACCCGCACAAGCAGCGGAGCGUGUGGUUUAAUUCGAUGCUACACGAAGAACCUUACCAGGGUUUGACAUGUAAGUGGUAGUGAUCUGAAAAGUGAACGACCCUUCGGGGAGCUUACACAGGUGCUGCAUGGCUGUCGUCAGCUCGUGUCGUGAGAUGUUCGGUUAAGUCCGCUAACGAGCGCAACCCUCACUGUGUGUUAUACGUGUCACACGGGACUGCCGGUUUUAAGCCGGAGGAAGGCGAGGAUGACGUCAAGUCAGCAUGGCCUUUAUAUCCUGGGCUACACACACGCUACAAUGGUCUGUACAACAGGUUGCCAAACCGCGAGGUGGAGCCAAUCCCUAAAACAGGCCUCAGUUCAGAUUGCAGGCUGCAACUCGCCUGCAUGAAGUUGGAGUUGCUAGUAAACGCAGGUCAGCCAUACUGCGUUGAAUACGUUCCCGGGCCUU
rnacentral:rRNA from 1 species